rnacentral:rRNA from 1 species
GACGAACGCUGGCGGCGUGCUUAACACAUGCAAGUCGAGCGGUAAGGCCCUUUCGGGGGUACACGAGCGGCGAACGGGUGAGUAACACGUGGGUGACCUGCCCUCAGCUCUGGGAUAAGCCUGGGAAACCGGGUCUAAUACUGGAUAUGACUCCAUGACGCAUGUUGUGGGGUGGAAAGCCUUGUGCGGCUGAGGAUGGGCCCGCGGCCUAUCAGCUUGUUGGUGGGGUGANGGCCUACCAAGGCGACGACGGGUAGCCGGCCUGAGAGGGCGACCGGCCACACUGGGACUGAGACACGGCCCAGACUCCUACGGGAGGCAGCAGUGGGGAAUCUUGCGCAAGUGGGACGAAAGCCUGACGCAGCGACGCCGCGUGAGGGAUGACGGCCUGGUU